GAAAUGCGAAAGUAAUGUGAAUUGCAGAAUUCAGUGAAUCAUCGAAUCUUUGAACGCACCUUGCGCUCCUUGGUAUUCCUUGGAGCAUGCCUGUUUGAGUAUCAUGAAAUCUUCAAAGUAAAUCUUUUGUUAACUCAAUUGGUUUCUACUUUGGUAUUGGAGGUCUUUGCAGCUUCACACCUGCUCCUCUUUGUUCAUUAGCUGGAUCUCAGUGUUAUGCUUGGUUCCACUCGGCGUGAUAAGUUAUCUAUCGCUGAGGACACUGUAAAAGGUGGCCAAGGUAAAUGCAGAUGAACCGCUUCUAAUAGUCCAUUGACUUGGACAAUACUUUUAUGAUCUGAUCUCAAAUCAGGUAGGACUACCCGCUGAACUUAAGC
rnacentral:misc_RNA from 1 species